AUUGAACGCUGGCGGCAUGCUUUACACAUGCAAGUCGAACGGCAGCGCGGGCUUCGGCCUGGCGGCGAGUGGCGAACGGGUGAGUAAUGCAUCGGAACGUGCCCAGUAGUGGGGGAUAGCCCGGCGAAAGCCGGAUUAAUACCGCAUACGACCUGAGGGUGAAAGCGGGGGACCGAAAGGCCUCGUGCUAUUGGAGCGGCCGAUGUCGGAUUAGCUAGUUGGUGGGGUAAAGGCUUACCAAGGCGACGAUCCGUAGCUGGUCUGAGAGGACGACCAGCCACACUGGGACUGAGACACGGCCCAGACUCCUACGGGAGGCAGCAGUGGGGAAUUUUGGACAAUGGGGGCAACCCUGAUCCAGCCAUGCCGCAUGCGGGAAGAAGGCCUUCGGGUUGUAAACCGCUUUUGUUCGGGAAGAAAUCCUCUGGGCUAAUACCCCGGGGGGAUGACGGUACCGGAAGAAUAAGCACCGGCUAACUACGUG
rnacentral:rRNA from 1 species